GACGAACGCUGGCGGCGUGCUUAACACAUGCAAGUCGAACGGAAAGGCCCUGCUUUUGUGGGGUGCUCGAGGGGCGAACGGGUGAGUAACACGUGAGUAACCUGUCCUUGACUUUGGGAUAACUUCAGGAAACUGGGGCUAAUACCGGAUAGGAGCUCCUGCUGCAUGGUGGGGGUUGGAAAGUUUCGGCGGUUGGGGAUGGACUCGCGGCUUAUCAGCUUGUUGGUGGGGUAGUGGCUUACCAAGGCUUUGACGGGUAGCCGGCCUGAGAGGGUGACCGGCCACAUUGGGACUGAGCUGCGGCACAGACUCCUACGGGAGGCAGCAGUGGGGAAUAUUGCACAAUGGGCGGAAGGCUGAUGCAGCAACGCCGCGUGCGGGAUGACGGCCUUCGGGUUGUAAACCGCUUUCGCCUGUGACGAAGCGUGAGUGACGGUAAUGGGUAAAGAAGCACCGGCUAACUACGUG
rnacentral:rRNA from 1 species